UGCCAGACUCCUACGGGAGGCAGCAGUGGGGAAUAUUGCACAAUGGGGGGAACCCUGAUGCAGCGACGCCGCGUGGGUGAAGGAGCACCUCGGUGCGUAAAGCCCUAUCGGCAGGGAAGAAACAGACGGUACCUGACUAAGAAGCCCCGGCUAACUACGUGCCAGCAGCCGCGGUAAUACGUAGGGGGCAAGCGUUAUCCGGAUUCACUGGGUGUAAAGGGAGCGUAGACGGCGACGCAAGUCUGGAGUGAAAGCCCGGGGCCCAACCCCGGGACUGCUCUUGGAACUGCGUGGCUGGAGUGCAGGAGGGGCAGGCGGAAUUCCUGGUGUAGCGGUGAAAUGCGUAGAUAUUAGGAGGAACACCAGUGGCGAAGGCGUCUUACUGGACCGAAACUGACGUUGAGGCUCGAAAGCGUGGGGAGCAAACAGGAUUAGAUACCCGAGUAAU
rnacentral:rRNA from 1 species